UAACGGCGAGUGAACAGGGAAAAGCCCAGCACCGAAGCCUGUGGUCAUUUGGUCACUAGGCAAUGUGGUGUUCAGGUCGUUCCAUAGAGGUGCUGCUCCACCCUAAGUCCAGCAAUGAGUACGGUGGUACGGACAUGGCCCACAGAGGGUGAAAGGCCCGUGGGGGUGGAGAUCAGGCAGGCCAGUGCCUCUCUGGGUAGACCUUGGAGUCGGGUUGUUUGUGAAUGCAGCCCAAAGUGGGUGGUAAACUCCAUCCAAGGCUAAAUACUUGCACGAGUCCGAUAGCGAACAAGUACCGUGAGGGAAAGUUGAAAAGUACUUUGAAGAGAGAGUAAACAGUGCGUGAAACCGCUCAGAGGUAAACGGGUGGAGUUGAACUGCAAGCUUCGGGAAUUCAGCUGGUGAGUGUGGUUUGGGCUUGGUCAAGUCGGUUGGACAUUGAGGUCUGUGUAGCGGCAGGUCCUUACUCUCGGGUAAGGAUGCGCGAUACACUUAUCAAGUGUUGUGCGCCUCUUUGUUUAUCGGGCCAAUUUGCCAGUGCACUUUCUCGGAGUGUUCACCACGACCGGCACUGCUGUCUGAUUGCUGUGGUUAAACCGGACUUACAGGGCUCUUGUGGCGUUGUAUGGCCGGGAAGGCAGGUAGCUCGUUGGCUAGCUUGCGGUUUACCGCUGGCGUUUGGUUUUCGAGUGUAAAUAGCUGACCACGAUAUUUCUGUGCAGUGUGUCGGAGACGGCGGCUUGUGGUACGUGCGUGCGUGCCGGUUCUGCUGGCGUGUCCGGGUUUGGUUGUCAUGUUGCUUGUGAAUGCAGGCCUGGCAAUGGUUCGGAUUCGUUUGGUGGGCGGUUGCGUAUGUGGUGCCGUUAAGGGCCAACAGUCUGUGGUGUAGUGGUAGACUAUCCACCUGACCCGUCUUGAAACACGGACCAAGGAGAGUAACAUGUGCGCGAGUCAUUGGGCGUAACGAAACCCACAGGCGCAGUGAAAGUAAAGGCUUGGCUUGUCCAGGCUGAGGUGAGAUCCUGUCGUUUUCACACAUGGUGCCACCAAGCAACGAGCGGCAGGCGCAUCACCGGCCCGUCCCAUGACGUAGACACAUAAUCUUCGGACCAGUGCACCGUCGGGGCGGAGCAUGAGCGUACAUGUUGAGACCCGAAAGAUGGUGAACUAUGCUUGCGCAGGUUGAAGCCAGAGGAAACUCUGGUGGAGGACCGCAGCGAUUCUGACGUGCAAAUCGAUCGUCAAACGUGAGUAUAGGGG
rnacentral:rRNA from 1 species